CCCCUAGACGUUCUGGGCUGCACGCGCGCUACAAUAAUACGCACAGCGAGUAUCACCGAGCUCGAAAGGGCAAGGUAAACAAUAGAAAAGGUACUGUAAUGGUUAUAGAUCCUUGUAAUUAUUGAUCUUCAACGAGGAAUUCCUAGUAAGUAUGUGUCAUCAUCACGCACUGAUUACGUCCCUACCCUUUGUACACACCGCCCGUCGCUCCUACCGAUUGGGUGAGCCGAUGAAACUCUCGGAUGUAGGCUAUUCAUAGCCCGCAGAAGAGAUUUGAAUCGUAGCGCUUAGAGGAAGGAGAAGUCGUAACA
rnacentral:rRNA from 1 species